rnacentral:rRNA from 1 species
AUUGAACGCUGGCGGCAGGCUUAACACAUGCAAGUCGAGCGGAGAGAGGUAGCUUGCUACUGAUCUUAGCGGCGGACGGGUGAGUAAUGCUUAGGAAUCUGCCUAUUAGUGGGGGACAACAUUUCGAAAGGAAUGCUAAUACCGCAUACGUCCUACGGGAGAAAGCAGGGGAUCUUCGGACCUUGCGCUAAUAGAUGAGCCUAAGCCGGAUUAGCUAGUUGGUGGGGUAAAGGCCUACCAAGGCGACGAUCUGUAGCGGGUCUGAGAGGAUGGUCCGCCACACUGGGACUGAGACACGGCCCAGACUCCUACGGGAGGCAGCAGUGGGGAAUAUUGGACAAUGGGCGCAAGCCUGAUCCAGCCAUGCCGCGUGUGUGAAGAAGGCCUUAUGGUUGUAAAGCACUUUAAGCGAGGAGGAGGCUACUUUAGUUAAUACCUAGAGAUAGUGGACGUUACUCGCAGAAUAAGCACCGGCUAACUCUGUGCCAGCCGCCGCCGUAAUAC